rnacentral:rRNA from 1 species
GACGAACCGUGCGAACGUUAUUCGGAAUCACUGGGCUUAAAGCGCGUGUAGGCGGCCGGCGCGUCGGUCGCUGAAAGCCCCCGGCUCAACCGGGGAAGCGGCGCCGAUACGGCCGGCCCUGGAGGGGGGUAGGGGGACCUGGAACUUCCGGUGGAGCGGUGAAAUGCGUUGAGAUCGGAAGGAACGCCCGUGGCGAAAGCGAGGUCCUGGACCCUUUCUGACGCUGAGACGCGAAAGGCCAGGGAGCGAACGGGA